rnacentral:rRNA from 2 species
GUUGACCUCGGAUCAGGUAGGGAUACCCGCUGAACUUAAGCAUAUCAAUAAGCGGAGGAAAAGAAACCAACAGGGAUUGCUCUAGUAACGGCGAGUGAAGCAGCAAUAGCUCAAAUUUGAAAUCUGGCGUCUUCGACGUCCGAGUUGUAAUUUGUAGAGGAUGCUUCUGAGUAACCACCGACCUAAGUUCCUUGGAACAGGACGUCAUAGAGGGUGAGAAUCCCGUAUGCGG